rfam:Stegodyphus mimosarum contig112627, whole genome shotgun sequence.
GUCUUCGUGGUGUAGUGGUCAACACGUUCGACGCAUAGCUGAGAGGUCCGUGGUUCGAUUCCCGGUGAAGGCG